AUACUCACCUGGCAGGGCAGAUACCAUGAUCACAAAGGUAGUUUUCCCAGGGCGAGGCUCACCUAUCAUACUCUGGGUGUGCUGACCCCUGCAAUUUCCCCAGAUGUGGGAAACUCAACUGCAUAAUUUGUGAUUGUGGGGACUGAGUUCACGCUCUCCCCU